UCUUUAAAUAUUCCAUGAUUCUCUAGCCAUCUUAUUUCUUAACUUAUAGAAAUCCAUAAGUGAAUCUCUCUCACAUUGGAAGAUCAUCCAUGAAUUUUUUUUUUUGGAGAAUUUCUUUGGCUGGCAUGUCGUUUUAUCCGAAGCGAUCUAGAGGUGGUUUCAAUAUCAAUUAAUCGAGAUGAUUUAGAGAAGCAGAUUUUGCUCGUCUCGAGACUCUCUGUCCUGCAGUAACUAGUAUUUUCAGGUCCCUAUAGCUUUAUUCCUUCAAGAAAUAGUGAGUAGUUGAGGUUUUAGUAGUUCUAUUAGCUCCGAGCUCAUCCAGUAAUGGGUGCUUCUGGGAAGUGGUUCAAAUCCUUAAUAGGCCACAAAAAACUCGACAAGGAUGACAAUGAAAAGGUCAGUAGGAAGAAAGGGAAAUGGAAGCUAUGGAAAAGCUCUUCUGCUGAUCUCGGAUCUUCAUGGAAGGGUUUUAAAGGUCGGCAGAAAGCUGCAUCAGACUUCGGAUUCUUCAUCUGUGGCUGAUGUGUAUUGUGCUGCAGUUGCUACUGUCGUUAGGGCUCCACCGAAAGGAUUUCAAAAUUGAGGCAAGAAUGGGCUGCAAUCCAGAUUGGCGUUACGCGGAUUUUCUGGUAAAUAUGUUUCAUUUGUUCCAACUAGGGGUCCUUUAGAUGGCUGAUCCUGGGAUUCCCCAAAUAUUUUCCAAAAUGUAAUUUUGGAUAGACUUGAGACUUGGAAGAUCAAACUUUACAUAGUAACUCGAGGGGUCUUCUAUCUUCAUGAAACAUCAUCUCUCACUCUUACACACACGAAAAAAAAAAGGGGGGCAAUAUCUUCUCAAGAAAAGCAUGAAAUUUUCUAUUCCAAGAAAAAAAAUAUCUUCUCCAAAAAAGUGCCUUCAAUCUUCUAUGAGAAUUGUGGUAACCUAUGCCUCAUCCAUCGAAGAAUCCCUGGUAACCUCUCUUUCUAACUUCAAAGGUCUUUGCUUCUUGUUACUUUCAUUCUUCCUUGUGUGGAUGGAUCUUUGUGUCUAUGUAGUGGAAUUAGAGAUUUAUUCUGUUUUACACCUGGUUUGAAUGGUUAAAACGAAAAAUAGCUUUUUGACUAUCUUAUACUCUUUCGGUUUAGUUUUGAUGGACAAUUUUGGAUUUGGUUGAAUUAUCUCUUCUUCAAACCAUUUGGAUGUCAAGGAAAAAACCUAGCUAAGCUUGAGGCAGCCAGGGAGCAUAGCAAUAAGGAGUUCUCCAGAAUUUCUAAGAUUAGAGUCGCUAAGGAACUUAAGAUGUGCUUUAGUUAACCUAUCUUGAAUCGUUGUAUGGUGU